AUACGGAGGGUGCGAGCGUUAUCCGGAAUCACUGGGUUUAAAGGGUGCGUAGGCGGGGAAUUAAGUCAGUGGUGAAAGCCUGUCGCUUAACGAUAGAAUUGCCAUUGAUACUGAUUUUCUUGAAUUGGGUUGAGGUUAGCGGAAUGUGACAUGUAGCGGUGAAAUGCAUAGAUAUGUCAUGGAACACCAAUUGCGAAGGCAGCUAACUGGGCCUUGAUUGACGCUGAGGCACGAAAGCGUGGGUAGCGAACAGGAUUAGAUACCCUGGUAGUCCACGCCCUAAACGAUGCUAACUCGAUGUUUGGGCGCAAGCUUGAGCAUCCAAGGGAAACCGAUAAGUUAGCCACCUGGGGAGUACGUCCGCAAGGAUGAA
rnacentral:rRNA from 1 species